UACGGAGGGUGCGAGCGUUAAUCGGAAUUACUGGGCGUAAAGCGCACGCAGGCGGUUUGUUAAGCUAGAUGUGAAAGCCCCGGGCUCAACCUGGGAUGGUCAUUUAGAACUGGCGGACUAGAGUCUUGGAGAGGGGAGUGGAAUUCCAGGUGUAGCGGUGAAAUGCGUAGAUAUCUGGAGGAACAUCAGUGGCGAAGGCGACUCCCUGGCCAAAGACUGACGCUCAUGUGCGAAAGUGUGGGUAGCGAACAGG
rnacentral:rRNA from 1 species